UCUCUGUGAUGGUGAAAACAUAUGUAAAGUCCGAUGGUCAGAUCCGUUCUAUUACACCAUGUAGACAACCGAGACGUUUGUGUGGAGAGAA